CGCAGAGACACAGCUAGAGGGAGAAGCAGGCUCCUUGCCAGGAGCCAGAUGCAGGACUUGAUCCCAGGAUUCCAGGAUCGGGCCCUGGGCCAAAGGCAGGUGCGAAACCGCUGAGCCACCCAGGGAUCCCCAAGUUAUUUUUCUUUAUUCUGCCUCCAGUGCAAGUUGGACUUCCAACGCUGAGAACAGACCUCUGAGCACUGGAUAUUUGGAGGCAACUGAUCAGUGCCCAUGGUUGGGUAGGUGUGGGCUGGCUAUAAUGCACGGAGGGAGUCAGCAGCACAGAAGGGACCAACGAAGUUUAUAGUAGAGUCAUGGAUGGAGCAUUCCUCCUGCAUAAACUCCUGGAGACUUUGGCGAUUUACUUCAGAGACCAUCUGGUUUCAGUCGUGAUCCUUGGGAGUGUUAUAAAGUGACCCCUACAUUCAAGGAAACCCCUUUACCUCCUUUCAUUGGAAGCUUCUGGCUGAGCUGGGUUCAGGACUGGCCUCUUCUGUGAUAGUUUCCAAUCUUUGAGGAAGCACCAGACCUGUCUCAGCACAAUUUCAUGACCAUACUGGAACUCUGAAGAAACAAGGACUUCUUUUCAUAGCUAUGUGUAAGAUUUCUUCACACUAAAUGAAAAUAAGCAUGAACUUUGUUAGAAAUCUGUCAUCUGGAAUGCCCAGGUAGCUCAGUGGAUUAGGUAGCUGCACUCGGCUCAGGUCCUGGGAUCUAGCCCUGCUCAGGAUCCCUGCUCAGUGGGGAAACUGCUUCUCCCUCUGCUCUUCCACCCACCUCUGACUUGUACACUCUUUCUAAUAAAUAAAAAUCUUUUAAAAAAGAGAGAGAGAUC
rnacentral:lncRNA from 1 species